UGGGGAAUUUUGGACAAUGGGGGCAACCCUGAUCCAGCCAUGCCGCGUGAGUGAAGAAGGCCUUCGGGUUGUAAAGCUCUUUCGGACGGAACGAAAUGGUCAGGGUGAAUAUCCCUGACUGAUGACGGUACUGUAAGAAGAAGCACCGGCUAACUACGUGCCAGCAGCCGCGGUAAUACGUAGGGUGCGAGCGUUAAUCGGAAUUACUGGGCGUAAAGGGCUCGUAGGCGGCCAGCUAAGUCAGACGUGAAAUCCCUCGGCUUAACCGGGGAACUGCGUCUGAUACUGGAUGGCUUGAGGUUGGGAGAGGGAUGCGGAAUUCCAGGUGUAGCGGUGAAAUGCGUAGAUAUCUGGAGGAACACCGGUGGCGAAGGCGACAUCCUGGACCAAUUCUGACGCUGAGGAGCGAAAGCCAGGGGAGCAAA
rnacentral:rRNA from 1 species